GAUGAACGCUGGCGGCGUGCCUAAUACAUGCAAGUCGAGCGAACAGACGAGGAGCUUGCUCCUCUGACGUUAGCGGCGGACGGGUGAGUAACACGUGGAUAACCUACCUAUAAGACUGGGAUAACUUCGGGAAACCGGAGCUAAUACCGGAUAAUAUAUUGAACCGCAUGGUUCAAUAGUGAAAGACGGUUUUGCUGUCACUUAUAGAUGGAUCCGCGCCGCAUUAGCUAGUUGGUAAGGUAACGGCUUACCAAGGCAACGAUGCGUAGCCGACCUGAGAGGGUGAUCGGCCACACUGGAACUGAGACACGGUCCAGACUCCUGCGGGAGGCAGCAGUAGGGAAUCGUCCGCAAUGGGCGAAAGCCUGACGGAGCAACGCCGCGUGAGUGGUGAAGGUCUUCGGAUCGUAAAACUCUGUUAUUAGGGAAGAACAAAUGUGUAAGUAACUAUGCACGUCUUGACGGUACCUAAUCAGAAAGCCUCGGCUAACUACGUG
rnacentral:rRNA from 1 species